GGGCCUGUGGGUUAGCUUGGUAUACUUGCGGCUUUGGGAGCCGUUGACCCCGGUUCAAAUCCGGGCUGGCCCACCA
rnacentral:tRNA from 2 species